AUGCCCUGCACUCAUGUCAUUGCCGUCUGUUGUCAGAUUGGGGUUAGCACUGCUACAUACAUGUCUCCAUACUACAACCUGGCCUACCUAGGUAGGAUCUGGAGUGGAAAUUUUGAUGAAUAUAAGAUCUCACGCAGCUACAGAAAUAUCACGCCAUUUGAAUGCAAUACAACAACUUGGAUCCCAGACAAAAGAUUGGAGUGUGGUCUUCCUGUUUUUGUAACAUCGGACUGCCUAGAAACUGUUGCGGAUGAGUCAGAGCAACAAUGCAACACUGGAAAUGGAUCUACUGAAGACAAUCAAGGAGCUACAACACGCGCUGAAGAACCUAAUGAGAUUUAA
rnacentral:rRNA from 1 species